rnacentral:tRNA from 3 species
GCGCCCUUAGCUCAGCCGGAUAGAGCGUCUGACUACGAAUCAGAAGGUCGGGAGUUCGAAUCUCUCAGGGCGCGCCA